UACGAAGGGGGCUAGCGUUGUUCGGAAUUACUGGGCGUAAAGCGCACGUAGGCGGCUUUGUAAGUUAGAGGUGAAAGCCCGGGGCUCAACCCCGGAAUUGCCUUUAAGACUGCAUCGCUAGAAUUGUGGAGAGGUAAGUGGAAUUCCGAGUGUAGAGGUGAAAUUCGUAGAUAUUCGGAAGAACACCAGUGGCGAAGGCGACUUACUGG
rnacentral:rRNA from 1 species